CCGGCGCUGACCCUGCACCUGUGAAACCUAGGCCGGUGGACGAGCGCCUAAAGGCACCGUUCAUGGAGAGGCAAGCUCUCCCUUAUCCCACAGACUGCAGUCUUCUACUCGGUGUCAUUUGUCAGUUAAGGCGUUAAAUAUUUAUUGAGCACCUACUUUGGUAGAGCCUUCGUGCAGAACGCGGGACAUCCUCAGGUCAUGGGGAACCUAUUGCAUUUGGCUUUGGGAUUCCUUUUCGGGCACUGGUUCCAGCCCUCUCUUUGACCAGGUGAGAGUGACAUUUAAGUCAGUGGACUUUGAGUGAAGCUGAUUGCAUUCCUUAAUGUGGGUGGGCCUUAUACAACAGAAAAAGACUGAAGUCCCUUGAAAAAAGAAAUAAGAAUUGUGGAGUUGAACUGCAACUCUUCCCUGGGCCUCCAGCAUGCCUGCUCACCCUGAAGAUUUUGAACUUGUCGGCCUCCACAAUCACUGCACAGAGAAGCAGCACUCUACAGGAGCUGGGACCACACACUUGAGACACCAAUGCCCUGGGUUGAAGUCCUGGCUCAGCCACUUCCUACCUCACACUCCGGCAGGUCAUUGACACUCCCUGCCUGUCUUCUCAGGAGUAAGGUAGGGCUGAUAACAGUUCCUUCAUCGGAGAGCUGAUUUGAAGAUUGAGUUAUAAUUGGAUAGUGAAUAUAUCAUUAUGUAAAUGUAUGCAAGGUAAAAUUUUAAAUAAGACAUCGAUGAGAAUGAAAAGUCGAAUUAAAAACUGGGAAAAGACAUUUACAGCACUUGACAACUGACCCAAGGUGUUAGAAUGUUUAUCUAUCUCCAUUCAUCCAUUCCUGUUCAUACUGUUCCUGGGGUUCUCAAGGCAAGAAUACUGAAGUGGUUUGCCAUUCCCGUCUCCAGUGGAUCACGCUUUGUCAGGCCUCUCCACCAUGACACGUCCGUCUUGGGUGGC